UACAGAGGGGGCUAGCGUUGUCCGGAAUCAUUGGGCGUAAAGAGCGUGUAGGCGGCCCGAUAAGUCCGCUGUGAAAGUCCAGGGCUCAACCCUGGAAUGCCAGUGGAAACUGUCGGGCUAGAGUCCGGAAGAGGCGAGUGGAAUUCCUGGUGUAGCGGUGAAAUGCGCAGAUAUCAGGAGGAACACCAAUGGCGAAGGCAGCUCGCUGGGACGGUACUGACGCUGAGACGCGAAAGCGUGGGGAGCAAACAGG
rnacentral:rRNA from 1 species